rnacentral:lncRNA from 1 species
CCAAGUUUGAUAUCCCAAGACCAAUAUUACAAACCAGCCACUGAAAUAGAGAUAUUCAAAUUAAGAAGCAUUUUAAACACCCAUUCACCACAGAAUUAACACUGGUACAAAACAAACCUACUGAUCCUAUGUCAUUUUCUGCUCACACAAUAUUCCAAAUUUAAACUUAAACUAACAUUUAAAGCAUGGCAGCAGAACUUGAAAACACUUAAUAUGUAUUGCUAAAAUUAACCUAUACUACAGCUAACACUACCGAAUGAGUUCAACAGUCCAUAUACAAUCUCUCGAGUAUUCAAUCAAACUAACAAGCUACGAGUUUCCAACAAAAUGAAGUAGCAACAUGAAUUCCAACAAUACUACUACUAUGAACGAGCUAAGGUACAUACCCUUACACUACAUUACUAACUUCAGAAAUUUUUAAGUAGAUGAUUGACAUUGACAUUUAAAAGGAAAACAGCCAUUCAUUUAUGUAUCUUCAAACAAUUUCACCUUUCCUAUUCUUCAUCUCAUCCCUUAGAGAAUCAAGGAAUACCUGAAAAUUGAACAGAGAAAAUGAAAAGAAGUAAGAGAAGUAAGACAACAAGCACGAAUUGGCAGCAAUCAACAAUAGGAAAUAUGCCAGCAAAACAGGUUUAAAACCAAAAUAGUGUUUAAUCAGUCUACCAAAAAUAAUUUAACUUGAAUGCAAACCCAAAUCUUUGAAAUCAAACCUUAGAGCCAACUUCAAUCCAUUUUCUAAGCCUUAAUGAACCAGAAAAUGCUUCAGAAUUAGAGAAGCUUCAAGAAAUAAGAGCAGAAGCAAUGGAACAAUAUUUUCUAGAAAUUUUAGCCACCUAGAACUUUUCAGAAUUUUCAAC